rnacentral:rRNA from 1 species
AUUGAACGCUGGCGGCAGGCCUAACACAUGCAAGUCGAACGGUAACAGGAAGAAGCUUGCUUCUUUGCUGACGAGUGGCGGACGGGUGAGUAAUGUCUGGGAAACUGCCUGAUGGAGGGGGAUAACUACUGGAAACGGUAGCUAAUACCGCAUAACGUCGCAAGACCAAAGAGGGGGACCUUCGGGCCUCUUGCCAUCGGAUGUGCCCAGAUGGGAUUAGCUAGUAGGUGGGGUAACGGCUCACCUAGGCGACGAUCCCUAGCUGGUCUGAGAGGAUGACCAGCCACACUGGAACUGAGACACGGUCCAGACUCCUACGGGAGGUAGCAGUGGGGAAUAUUGCACAAUGGGCGCAAGCCUGAUGCAGCCAUGCCGCGUGUAUGAAGAAGGCCUUCGGGUUGUAAAGUACUUUCAGCGGGGAGGAAGGGAGUAAAGUUAAUACCUUUGCUCAUUGACGUUACCCGCAGAAGAAGCACCGGCUAACUCCGUG